rnacentral:rRNA from 1 species
AGUGAACGCUGGCGGUAGGCCUAACACAUGCAAGUCGAACGGCAGCACAGUAAGAGCUUGCUCUUACGGGUGGCGAGUGGCGGACGGGUGAGGAAUACAUCGGAAUCUACUUUUUCGUGGGGGAUAACGUCGGGAAACUUACGCUAAUACCGCAUACGACCUACGGGUGAAAGCAGGGGAUCUUCGGACCUUGCGCGAUUGAAUGAGCCGAUGUCGGAUUAGCUAGUUGGCGGGGUAAAGGCCCACCAAGGCGACGAUCCGUAGCUGGUCGGAGAGGAUGAUCAGCCACACUGGAACUGAGACACGGUCCAGACUCCUACGGGAGGCAGCAGUGGGGAAUAUUGGACAAUGGGCGCAAGCCUGAUCCAGCCAUACCGCGUGGGUGAAGAAGGCCUUCGGGUUGUAAAGCCCUUUUGUUGGGAAAGAAAAGCAGCAGGUUAAUACCCCGCUGUUCUGACGGUACCCAAAGAAUAAGCACCGGCUAACUUCGUG